rnacentral:rRNA from 1 species
AUGCCGACGAAAUACCUGAUCGCCGCCCUCCCCGUACAAUCCGCCGGCGGCGACAUCACCGCCGCCGAAAACUCCCUCUGGCGCAGCCUCGAGGACUCCAUCUCCCAGCACGCCAUCGACACCCCCCUCUACCGCUUCACGGUCCCCGCCCUCAAAGGCGGCACGCUCGACUCCCUCCUCGCCCUCAGCGACGACCUCAUCAGGUCGAACCUCUUCAUCGAGGGGGCCUCGCACAGGAUCAGGAGGCAGAUCGAGGACCUGGAGCGCGACGGAGGCGCCGGCGAGGGCGGCGCCCUGAUCACCGUCGACGGCGUCCCGGUCGACUCCUACCUCUCCAGGUUUGUGUGGGACGAGCGGAAGUACCCAACAAAGUGGCCACUCAAGGACAUCAUCGCCAGCAUCCUGUCGCGGAUCGCCAAAAUCGAGGAUGAGAUCAAGGUUCAAUCAUCGAAGUAUAAUUCUUGUAAGAACCACCUGAGAACAAUCUACAGAAAGCAAAGUGUAAGUUUAGUCGUGCGUGAUCUGUCGAACCUGGUAAAACCAGAGGAUAUAAUCACUUCGGAACAUCUAGCAACACUUCUUGCCGUUGUUCCAAAAUACUCCCAGAACGACUGGUUGUCAUGCUAUGAGUCACUUGACACCUUUGUGGUACCGAGAUCAUCUAAAAGGCUUUAUGAGGAUGAUGAAUAUGCGCUCUACACCGUAACAUUAUUUGCUAAGGUUGUUGGCAACUUUAAAGCACAUGCUCAAGAGAAAGGUUUUCUGAUCCGUGAUUUUGUGUAUAGUCCUGAAGCACAGGAAAGUAAGGACGACCUGGAAAAGCUGCUGCAAGAUGAAGAAACUAUGAGAACGUCUCUUCUAGAAUUGUUAUAUGCCAGAUACAGUGAGGUAUUCAGUUCCUGGAUGCACAUAUGUGCUGUAUUUGUCUUUGCAGAGAGCAUUCUUAGAUAUGGUUUGUCACCAUCAAUCCUGUGUGUUGUUCUAGCACCGUCUACGGAGAGCGAGAAAAAAGUAAGGAACAUCUUAGAAGAGCAUUGUGGAAAUGCCAAUAGCAAUGAUUUCUGGAAAUCUGACGAUGAUGGUCUCGGAGGUGAAAUCCACCCUUAUAUAUCCUCCACCAUGAAUGUCGUGUGA